UGGAGCGACAAUUUUUGUCGAGUCGUCGACUCAAGCCCUUGCUAGAACUACGCCUAAGCCUAGUUUACCAUACAUAAAGAACUAGUAGCAGACUGGCUUAAUUACAAACUAAUACUUUAGGCCAAGAUGUGAUUUAUACAGAAUCUCAGAAUAUUCAGCACUUCAAGGAUGGCAUUCCACGGAGAGGAGAGCCUAUUCAUGAGAUAGGACUAGGCCUAGCCUACUUAGGUUAGGUAGCUAGCUAGUUCUACGAGGGAGUUAUUGGUUAUACUACGGUCGUUUCAGCAGCCAUGUUUAUACAUAUAAGUUUUAAAAAUCAUGUUGUAGCUAGGUUAAUGAACUGAAAAAAUAUGGCAAAAAAGAAGAAGACAUGGGAAGCUUACAUUCAUAUUGUAUCUCCAGUUAAAAACAAACACAAAUCAGUACUUCAAAUUACAAUUACAAACCACUGCGGACAAUUUUCAAGAAACUGUUUUUUCUGCUUCAUAUCACACUGAAUUCCAGAACUAUUGAAAACCAAAGUCCAUUGAAGAUGAUUGAUUUUGGGACCAAUAUUCUUAUAAACUCCAACAUUAAAAUAAAGCAGUUGGAAGAGAUACCAUUCCAAAUUUAGGAAUUUAUCAACCCAAAACAUUCUUUUCAUUCGAAUGUAAACAACACUCAACUCGUAACCAUAAAGGCUAAGGUUAUACAGCUUUCAGGAACCAAAAGGUUCAACACAAGAAAUGGGCUAAAAAUAUUACAGAAUGUAUGCUGAUUGAUCCAUCGUGUUCAGUACAGACAACUAUUUGGGAAAAUUUCUUUUACAAAGUUAAACAUCCAGACUGCAGGCAAAAAUGUUUGAAAUGUUCAAUAAAGUGUCAAUUUGCAAGUGAUAAAAAUAUUUUAAAAAUAUGUUUUCUGUAAUAAACCGACUUAUAAUUAAGAUAAAAGCCUUUAUUGCUAUAUUGUUACAAAAUCGUGGAUUCAGAUUAUAAUAGUUUUUAAUUACCCUAAAUGCUCAAAAAAGCAUUUAGUAUAUAGUAUAUCAUUACCUGUUGUGUAACUAAAGAAUUUGGGUUUUAAAUACAAUGUAUACAGUGUUAAGAUGAAUAAAUAACACAAUGAAUA